UUUCCAUUGAUUUAUCUUAUUUGCGCACAAACAGAAACACAGCAUAAAGAUGAACUUAAUGCUAAAAUGCUUUCUCAGUCAGAUAACUCAAGGGUUCUAAAAAAAGGGUUCAUACAAAAACUAAAAAAAAAAUUUACAUUCAAAAAAGAGAAAAUGGAGGUUUAAAUGAUAAAAAACAAGUGGAGUAUGAUAAAAAUUAUGAUUGUAAGAUAAGAAAUGUCACUCUUAAUUAUAUAUGAAACAGCGUGUUGUUGAAGCCUUACGUGUAGGCUGUCAGAAUAUUCCAAGGUUGUAUAAAAGAGUUAGAGAGGAAUCCAGUUUAACGAUGAGGAUUUUGAUGAAAGAAAUUCCUUAAACAACAAAGCUGUCUCUUAUUACAUUCAAACCAAAAUAUUUGGAGAAGAAGAAUUCAGUAGAAUAGAAUAUAGUAGGCGAAUUCUAUUCUAUUGAAUUCUUGUUCUCCACGAUCGUGGGAUUGCUGAAGUCUUGUAUUUUUAAUGAUUUUGAUUGGCGUCUGUAAAGAUGAAAUUUGCGGAGCCCGAAAAUCUAAUGUUUAUGUUUAAACCAUCAUGUUAUUAUUGUGGUGUACAACGUUAAGGUCCAAAGUCCACAUCAUAAUUGAUGAUAGGUUUCAUCACCAAGUCGGCUACGUAUACUCUAGUCCUAAAGAAAAAUAAGUUUUUAAGCAUAUAGCUAUCACAGAAUGUUUGAGAAACUUGGUCUAAGUUAUAAUUCCACUUGCCCAUGAAUUCACCUAAGAUUUAAUUUAAUUAUCACUUACAGGAAAAGCCAGCGGAUGUGAGUAAAGAUGGAAUUUGAGAUGAACUUUAAUUGACUAAGGUUUUUUGUAUUCGUCUUACUACACCAAUUAUACAAAACGUACCUAAAAAUCUAAAACAAUGAAAUUAUAAAAUAAUAAAAAAUUGGGUACUUCUAUUAGACAAAACAGCUAAGGUCUUAAAAAUAAUUUAGUACUAAUAUAGUUCGUGUAUUAAAGUAAAAAUUAUUACGCACAUUUUAUAUUUUUUAAUUAAGAUAUAAACCUAUUUUUAAAAUACCAACAUUUAAAAAUAUAUUUCACAGGACAAACCUGCUGAAGGUGACGCUGCGGGAAACGAAACCACGGCUGCAGGCGGAGAAACUACCACACCAGCGGCUGUAA